rnacentral:lncRNA from 1 species
AUGUAUCUUUGCCUCUUGCACACAUCAGUGAGCAUUCCCGCUUUUCUCUUUGCUCUCCUGAUUCCUCCCGAAGCCAAGAGCAGAGGUCUUUCACCUUGGUGUUAUAUUCUUAGUGAGGACUUUCAACGUGCAAGAUGCUGACUGGGGUGUGUUACAGCCUACAGGAUACUUUUGAAGUUUUCAAGAGUUAAGAUCCUAAUUUUUGAUAAAACAAAACUAAUAGAGAGGAGGUACAUACUAGAUUUUUAAAAAAGCUUCGCAGAAGAGCAGACACUUACUGAACCUGACUGAGUAUAUACUGAAGACACCGCCAGACAAAAGAACAAAGUGAUGCAAAGA